GACGAACGCUAGCGGCGUGCUUAACACAUGCAAGUCGAACGGAAAGGCCCUGCUUUUGUGGGGUGCUCGAGUGGCGAACGGGUGAGUAACACGUGAGUAACCUGCCCUUGACUUUGGGAUAACUUCAGGAAACUGGGGCUAAUACCGGAUAGGAGCUCCUGCUGCAUGGUGGGGGUUGGAAAGUUUCGGCGGUUGGGGAUGGACUCGCGGCUUAUCAGCUUGUUGGUGGGGUAGUGGCUUACCAAGGCUUUGACGGGUAGCCGGCCUGAGAGGGUGACCGGCCACCUUGGGACUGAGGUACGGCCCAGACUCCUACGGGAGGCAGCAGUGGGGAAUAUUGCACAAUGGGAGGAAGCCUGAUGCAGAAACCCCGCGUGCGGGAUGACGGCCUUCGGGUUGUAAACCGCUUUCGCCUAUGACGAAGCGUGAGUGACGGUAAUGGGUAAAGAAGCACCGGCUAACUACGUG
rnacentral:rRNA from 1 species